AGCCUGGUCACAGGGGGUGGGAGGGGCCGGACAGCAGAGCCGGUCCUUGGGCAAGCCUCAGAGGAUCCUGCCCGCGCCUGCCUGUCUGCUCGCCCCUGACCCUUGGGCGCUCUGCUUGCACCAGGGCCCAGGGGCAGGCACGGAGGCUCCUGCAUCCCACGUCCCUUCUAGCCCUUCUAGCCCGCGCUGCUCACGGUGACCAUCCACGAUGACCCUGGGGGUACGAGGCCAUCUGCAUCACAGCCAGCAGCCAGAACCAGCUCCUACAGCUCUCGGUUUGGCCACACGCCCUCGGGGGAGCCACCGAGUCCCCAGCACCCAUCACCCCGGGCCCAGAUUACUCAGUCUCGAAAUUCAGCGGCACAUCCAACGGGAAAGAAACCAAUAAAGGAACAAAACAUCCUAGAAGCACCGGCCGGAGUCCUGCCUUUAGGCGACCACGUUAAUGAAUAGCUGGGGCAACAUAACUGUUUUCAUCUUUAAGGUGCUUUUUUUUUUUUUUUCUCCUUUUUCCGCCCAACGGACAACCAAUUAAGGACGAAGCCGUCUGACAGUUCAAACAGCGCGGAUCAGGCCCUGACCUGGCUGGACGCGACGGAGGGGGCCGCCUCGCGGGCGCAGGAGCCGGGAGCUCCUCACGCGGACGGGCUGGAGCCUGAGCCGGGAGCCCCGACGCGGCCCCGACCCGCCGCACCAAGCGCCGCCCGAGCGCCCGGCUCCGCACAGCGUGUCGGGAAGUCCGAUGUUCCCAGUGAAGGCACUGGCCACCUGGAACACCCGACAGCAGGAAUCGACACGUUUGUGGCACCAGGCAUCAGAAAGGGUCUCCCUCAAAGGGCCUUAGGGAGUAGGUAUGGCUGGCACCCCAGGGCAGAGCAUUAAGGAGGAAAAGCAGAGCACAGAACAUCGUGUCUUAAGAAAGGGAGAGCAGGGUUAGCCUGCAGCCCAGGGCGUGAUCCUGGAGACCCUGGAUCGAGUCCCACGUCGGGCUCCCUGCAUGGAGCCUGCUUCUCCGUCUGCCUGUGUCUCUCUCUGUCUCUAUAAAUGAAUAAAUAAAAUUCUUUAAAAAAAAAUUUGCCUGCCUUCUCAUGAAAUGCAGGAAGGCGAACAAGUAAUGUGGGUCAUCACAGGGGGCACGUGGGUGGCUUAGUUGGUGACAGCUGCCUUCAGCUCAGGUCAUGAUCCCAGGGUCCUGGGAUGGAGCCCCCGGGUCAGGCUCCCUGCUCAGUGGAGUCUGCUGCUCCCUCGGUCCCUCCCCCUGCUCAUGCUCUCACUCAGAUAAUCUUUUUUGGAAGGGACGCUCAGCGGUUGGGCACCUGCCUUCCGCCCAGGGCGUGACCCCGGGAUCUGGGAUCGAGUCCCGCAUUGGGCUCCCUGCAGAGAGCCUGCUUCUCCCUCUGCCUGUCUCU